UUAAGCGACUAAGCGUACACGGUGGAUGCCCUGGCAGUCAGAGGCGAUGAAGGACGUGCUAAUCUGCGAAAAGCGCCGGCGAGGUGAUAUGAACCUUUGACCCGGCGAUGUCCGAAUGGGGAAACCCAGUGCAAUCCGUUGCACUAUCGUUAACUGAAUACAUAGGUUAACGAGGCGAACCGGGGGAACUGAAACAUCUAAGUACCCCGAGGAAAAGAAAUCAACCGAGAUUCCCCCAGUAGCGGCGAGCGAACGGGGAGCAGCCCGGAGUCUGAAUCAGCUUGUGUGUUAGUGGAACGGUCUGGAAAGUCCGACGGUACAGGGUGAUAGUCCCGUACACGAAAGCACACUUGCUGUGAACUCGAAGAGUAGGGCGGGACACGUGGUAUCCUGUCUGAAUAUGGGGGGACCAUCCUCCAAGGCUAAAUACUCCUGACUGACCGAUAGUGAACCAGUACCGUGAGGGAAAGGCGAAAAGAACCCCGGCGAGGGGAGUGAAAAAGAACCUGAAACCGUGUACGUACAAGCAGUGGGAGCCUCUUUAUGGGGUGACUGCGUACCUUUUGUAUAAUGGGUCAGCGACUUAUAUUCUGUAGCAAGGUUAACCGUAUAGGGGAGCCGAAGGGAAACCGAGUCUUAACUGGGCGUUAAGUUGCAGGGUAUAGACCCGAAACCCGGUGAUCUAGCCAUGGGCAGGUUGAAGGUUGGGUAACACUAACUGGAGGACCGAACCGACUAAUGUUGAAAAAUUAGCGGAUGACCUGUGGCUGGGGGUGAAAGGCCAAUCAAACCGGGAGAUAGCUGGUUCUCCCCGAAAGCUAUUUAGGUAGCGCCUCGUGAACUCAUCUUCGGGGGUAGAGCACUGUUUCGGCUAGGGGGCCAUCCCGGCUUACCAACCCGAUGCAAACUACGAAUACCGAAGAAUGUUAUCACGGGAGACACACGGCGGGUGCUAACGUCCGUCGUGAAGAGGGAAACAACCCAGACCGCCAGCUAAGGUCCCAAAGUCAUGGUUAAGUGGGAAACGAUGUGGGAAGGCACAGACAGCCAGGAUGUUGGCUUAGAAGCAGCCAUCAUUUAAAGAAAGCGUAAUAGCUCACUGGUCGAGUCGGCCUGCGCGGAAGAUGUAACGGGGCUAAACCAUGCACCGAAGCUGCGGCAGCGACGCUUAUGCGUUGUUGGGUAGGGGAGCGUUCUGUAAGCCGUUGAAGGUGUCCUGUGAGGGGUGCUGGAGGUAUCAGAAGUGCGAAUGCUGACAUAAGUAACGAUAAAGCGGGUGAAAAGCCCGCUCGCCGGAAGACCAAGGGUUCCUGUCCAACGUUAAUCGGGGCAGGGUGAGUCGACCCCUAAGGCGAGGCCGAAAGGCGUAGUCGAUGGGAAACAGGUUAAUAUUCCUGUACUUGGUGUUACUGCGAAGGGGGGACGGAGAAGGCUAUGUCAGCCGGGCGACGGUUGUCCCGGUUUAAGCAUGUAGGCGGAGGUUCCAGGUAAAUCCGGUACCUUNGAAGUGAAACAUCUUCGGGUUGUGAG
rnacentral:rRNA from 1 species